UCAGUAGGACCACAGCUAGCCAUUCGGUACAUUAGAAGGUUUGCUCUCGUGCUGUAUAUACCUGUCUGCGUUCGUGAUAAAGAAACCAGACACAUUAAGACAUACGACUCACCACGGGCGAGGAGUGCUCGUUACCUGCUGGACCAGAAUGUUUCCCCCAUUGAGAAUAGAGAUGCCCAGCUUCAGGGUAAAGGUCACCAUAGCAACCAGUCGACCUGAUUGAUGACCAUAAGGUAUAAAUCAUACUUACAGCGAUAAGUGGUGACUGCAUGAGACGGGACUGGUGAAGAUACUCCACCUUUACUAGCACCAAUCAUCUGGAGCACCAUUUCUGCAGCCCCGCGGUCGUGCAGUCGAGCCUGCUGUCAUACCUCAAAGGUUUUGUCUUUUUCUUCCUCGUCGUUCUCCUCUUCACCUUCUGCACAACUCUGAGAAAGAAAAUACGUCAAACCUACCAAUUUUUGUAUCAGUCAGAGCCAAUAAGACAUUAAAGUACCUUUGCCAUCAUAUCGGCAUAUGCAAUAUAUAAAGGAUCUUCUUCCAAAGAACUGAAGGACAAAAUAUCAUCAGUACCGUAUGAGUCAAAUCUGAUGGUUCUGAACUGCAAAGCAUUCAGUCAAACGUGUGUGGGUAUGCCCAUAAUUUACCUGCACUCGGUCAAAGCAUUGUGGCUGAAAUGCAGAAUGAGUUGGUGAAGAGGAUCCGGCUGUUUCCGGAUGUCCUCCUCUUCCUCGUCUUCAACUUUGGGCUGUGUUUUCUAGACAAGUCAAGGCCUCUCAUUAUGAACUGUACGGUACAUUAGACUGCUGUGAGGCCGCCUGACUCACCUGGACACGACAAGCUUCUAUGUGGAUACACCGGGAGCAUGCAGGCCAUCAAGCACACGGACAAGGAUAUUCUCAUGCAAAGGUGACAUGCAGCAGCUUGGUAAAGGCGUAGAAUGGAAGUAAGCAUGAUUCUCCGUGAGCCCACUUUACAUGUUUAAAUGUUUUAGCGCAGGGGUUGGCAAACUACGGCCCGGGGGCCACAUGCGGCCCGCCAGUUGCUUCCAAAGUACUGUAUUUUCUGGACUAUAAGUCGCACAAUGCCAAAAAUGCAUAAUUAGGUAGAAAAAAAAACAUAAUUCCCACUGGAGUAUAAGUCGCACUUUUUGCGGGUAAUUUAUUUUACAAACUACUUGACCAAAACCGACAUUAUGUCCUCUUGGAAGGAAAGUUCUAACAAUAAAAGAAUAGAGAACAGACUGAAUAGGUGUAAGAUAUGCUAACACAAUGGUUAUUUUAGUUUAAGUAACAUAAACAGUUUUUUCAUUUACAAGUCGCUCUGGAGUAUAAGUCACAGGAACAGCCAACCUAUGAAAAAAAAGCAUGAGUUAUGGUCCAGAAAAUACGGUAUUUAGACCCUCGUGAGGAAAAAGCGGUAAAAAAUGAAUGAAUGAAUGAACCUUUAACAUACAAAUACUCCCCCUGGUGGCAGUGAGCAGCGUAGGGUCACGUCAGCGCUUUUUGACUGUAUACUGGGCGAUGAAAUUGCUUUCCUAACAUUAUUUUCCUUUUCUAUUCUUUCAAAACCCAUCCAAAUUUAGGACCUCAUAACCAAAACAGUUUUUCUCCGUUAUUAUGCAGGUUUUAAACAAGUGGAAGAAGAAUAUAAAUACUAAAGAAGCACAGACUAAACAUUAAAUUGGCAAGCUGAACAUAGCACUACAAGACAACUCGGUGAUGCCGCUCUGACAUCAGCGGCGAUGUCAUGCUUGCUACACAAAUGGGCCACCUCACUGACAGGUGAUAAGAAACACUAUGAAAGGCCAGGUGUCACCCAGUGCAAUGUGGCAGACGCCGUCAAAACAAUAUCACAAGUAAAGCAGGAUGGGACGGGGGGGGAGGGCCAAAGCUACCCGCAGCACGUCCGCCAACACAAAUGUACGGGAGGGCCUUUAUUAGUACUUACUGCAAGAUCCUGUACUAGCUUCUCUUCAAAAGAGUACUCCUCUGUUUCUAUCCAUAUUCUCUGAUAGGCCAGGAGGAAGAGGUUAAUAGAGCGAUGCCUACGGAGGGGGUAAGAGGACAUUAGCCUGGGUUAGAUCCAAGCAGAGCAAAGGAGGGAAGCAGGCCCUUGAGGAGAGGUUUAGAACGGUUAGUCAGGGUACUGGUACAUCCCACUGGCCAUACAUUGGUUAUGGUUUAAGAAAGAUAAAUGUCAGACGUCACAAAUUGAUUGCUUGUCAGCUUUGAGGAGGAUCAGUCAAACCCGAUUGGGUGAGCAGAAUAAUGUUGUAUAAUAAUACAGUAAACCUCGGAUAUAUCGGAUUCAAUUGUUCCCACUGGUUUUGUCCGAUAUAAGCGAAAUCCGUUAUAUGCGUAUACCGGAAAAUGUCCGUUUUACGCAUAUAUCUGAUUUAUAUCCGGUAUAUGCAUAAAUCGGAUUUUAUCCGUUAUAAAAAGGCACUUCCUUGACUAUGUUUCCAAUGUACCUGGACGCACAGGCAACGCUGCAAACGCUGCAAAUGACGUCGUAUAGCGGCCUGUCACGAUUCGGCGAAUCGGAGCGCCACGAUGCGGCCAUCCCAUACGUAUAUGCAAGGGAAAUUUAAUGGAAAUGCAUUGGAACGGGACUGGAGAUUUUGUCCGAAAUAGGCGAAAUCCGUUAUAAAAAAUCCGAUAUAUGCAAUGAAUUUUUAUUGGAAAUGCAUUACAGAAAAAUGGGUUC